UCUCAGUUCGGACUGUAGGCUGCAACUCGCCUACACGAAGCUGGAAUCGCUAGUAAUCGCGGAUCAGCACGCCGCGGUGAAUACGUUCCCGGGUCUUGUACACACCGCCCGUCACACCAUGGGAGUCGGGAAUGCCCGAAGCCGGUGGCCCAAUCGUAAAGAAGGGAGCCGUCGAAGGCAGGCCGGAUGACUGGGGUGAAGUCGUAACAAGGUAGC
rnacentral:rRNA from 1 species